UUUCCUACGGAAGCUGCCCAUCAGACCAAUGAAACCACAAGACAAAAAGUUCUCUUCAAGAAGGGAACAACAAGAAGGAAAAAAAGGUCAACAAUCCUAGGCAACCAUUCUUUGCUUUCAAUAGGACAGAAGAGCUCCUUGGCACUGGAACCCUCGUGGUCUGGUGAGGGAGGGAUGAGGGAUGUUCUGAGGACACACAGCCAUCAUCCAAAACUUCCUCCGUUCAGAUGGAGGAAAGAGGUUGCACCAGAGCCUUGGAUCUGCUUUGCCUGAGGGAUGGUUCGGACUGCGUGAGUGAGUCACAGAAGGGUCUCAUGGGAACAAAAAGUUUGAGAGAGUUUACUGUUUGUGCAAGAUGACUGGUUGGGUAAAGAAGUCCAAAGUUUAUUAUCUGCAGAACAAAUAAAACCCGGGCAAAGAUAUAAAAGCAGUGUGUUCCUGAGGUCCAAAUUACAGGAGGAA